UACGGAGGGGACUAGCGUUGUUCGGAAUUACUGGGCGUAAAGCGUGCGCAGGCGGUGAUGUAAGACAGAUGUGAAAUCCCCGGGCUCAACCUGGGAACUGCAUUUGUGACUGCAUCGCUGGAGUACGGCAGAGGGGGAUGGAAUUCCGCGUGUAGCAGUGAAAUGCGUAGAUAUGCGGAGGAACACCGAUGGCGAAGGCAAUCCCCUGGGCCUGUACUGACGCUCAUGCACGAAAGCGUGGGGAGCAAACAGG
rnacentral:rRNA from 1 species